rnacentral:rRNA from 1 species
CCGCGUCUGAUUAGCUAGUUGGUGGGGUAACGGCCUACCAAGGCGACGAUCAGUAGCUGGUCUGAGAGGAUGAUCAGCCACACUGGGACUGAGACACGGCCCAGACUCCUACGGGAGGCAACAGUGGGGAAUAUUGGACAAUGGGCGCAAGCCUGAUCCAGCCAUGCCGCGUGAGUGAUGACGGCCUUAGGGUUGUAAAGCUCUUUUCUCCGGGACGAUAAUGACGGUACCGGAGGAAUAAGCCCCGGCUAACUUCGUGCCAGCAGCCGCGGUAAUACGAAGGGGGCUAGCGUUGCUCGGAACUCACUGGGCGUAAAGGGCGCGUAGGCGGCGUUUUAAGUCGGGGGUGAAAGCCUGUGGCUCAACCACAGAAUGGCCUUCGAUACUGGGACGCUUGAGUAUGGUAGAGGUUGGUGGAACUGCGAGUGUAGAGGU